GAUGAACGCUGGCGGCGUGCUUAACACAUGCAAGUCGAACGAAGCACUUUAUUUGAUUUCCUUCGGGACUGAUUAUUUUGUGACUGAGUGGCGGACGGGUGAGUAACGCGUGGGUAACCUGCCUUGUACAGGGGGAUAACAGUUGGAAACGGCUGCUAAUACCGCAUAAGCGCACGGCAUCGCAUGAUGCAGUGUGAAAAACUCCGGUGGUAUAAGAUGGACCCGCGUUGGAUUAGCUAGUUGGUGAGGUAACGGCCCACCAAGGCGACGAUCCAUAGCCGACCUGAGAGGGUGACCGGCCACAUUGGGACUGAGACACGGCCCAAACUCCUACGGGAGGCAGCAGUGGGGAAUAUUGCACAAUGGGCGAAAGCCUGAUGCAGCGACGCCGCGUGAGCGAAGAAGUAUUUCGGUAUGUAAAGCUCUAUUAGCAGGGAAGAUAAUGACGGUACCUGACUAAGAAGCACCGGCUAAAUACGUG
rnacentral:rRNA from 1 species